UAAAUGUUGGGUAAUAGUAAUACCUUUCAACAAACCAUUAGACUUUUCAUUUAGUAGGUGUUAUAUUUUUAAGUGGCUAUUAUUAUAUUAAUAAGAAAUAAUUAGUGACAAUUAAUAUAUAAAUGGGGACAAUCACAUUUUAUUAAUUGUAUAUGGUUACAGGGGUGAGAAGACUUUGGUUCUUUCAACCCUUAUCCAAAAGACAAACGCCCAGGAAAUGAAGUGGAUUAUCAUGAUAAUCCUGAAAGAUUUGAAGCUAGGAAUUAGUGAAAAAAAGCAUUUUUCAUGAAUUCCAUCCAGAUGCUGAAGACUUGUUUAAUGUUACAUGUGACUUAAAAUUAGUUUGUGAAAAACUAAGGGAUCGGAACCAACGUCAUAAGCGGCAGGAUAUUGAAGUUGGAAAAGCUGUGCAGCCUCAAUUAGCUAAGAGAGUUGCUAACGCUGCUGAAGCAUGGAAGAAGGUUUGUUUCACUUAGCCUUUUAAUCUUAACUUAUUAAAAUAAAAUGGGAAACAUUUUGCCACAUUCAGGUUUGUUUCACUCAACUUGUCUUUCCACA